GGCUGGCUCAAAGGUAGUGAGUUAUUUAUUGUUCAAGGUCAGCUACAUUUUAGACUCCUUUUCUAUGAUUUUUCCUGUCACACUAUCCCACCUGACAAGUUCUAA
rnacentral:Y_RNA from 1 species